UGGGGAAUAUUGCACAAUGGGGGAAACCCUGAUGCAGCGACGCCGCGUGGAGGAAGAAGGCCCUCGGGUUGUAAACUCCUGUCUUUGGGGACGAUAAUGACGGUACCCAAGGAGGAAGCCACGGCUAACUACGUGCC
rnacentral:rRNA from 1 species